AUGAACGCUGGCGGCGUGCCUAAUACAUGCAAGUCGCGCGAACGGACGAGAAGCUUGCUUCUCUGAUGUUAGCGGCGGACGGGUGAGUAACACGUGCAUAACCUACCUAUAAGACUGGGAUAACUUCGGGAAACCGGAGCUAAUACCGGAUGAUAUUUUGAACCGCAUGGUUCCAAAGUGAAAGACGGUCUUGCUGUCACUUAUAGAUGGAUCCGCGCUGCAUUAGCUAGUUGGUAAGGUAACGGCUUACCAAGGCAACGAUGCAUAGCCGACCUGAGAGGGUGAUCGGCCACACUGGAACUGAGACACGGUCCAGACUCCUACGGGAGGCAGCAGUAGGGAAUCUUCCGCAAUGGGCGAAAGCCUGACGGAGCAACGCCGCGUGAGUGAUGAAGGUCUUCGGAUCGUAAAACUCUGUUAUUAGGGAAGAACAUAUGUGUAAGUAACUGUGCACAUCUUGACGGUACCUAAUCAGAAAGCCACGGCUAACUACGUG
rnacentral:rRNA from 1 species